rnacentral:tRNA from 1 species
CUGGGUUGGCCAAGUGGUUAAGGCGUUGGACUUAAGUUCCAAUGGACAAGUGUCCGCGUGGGUUCGAACCCCCAUACCCAG